rnacentral:rRNA from 1 species
CAGUCGCCGCGGGAAUACGUAGGGUGCAAGCGUUAAUCGGAAUUACUGGGCGUAAGGCGUGCGCAGGCGGUUUGUUAAGACAGAUGUGAAAUCCCCGGGCUCAACCUGGGAACUGCAUUUGUGACUGGCAAGCUAGAGUCUGGCAGAGGGGGGUGGAAUUCCGCGUGUAGCAGUGAAAUGCGUAGAUAUGCGGAGGAACACCGAUGGCGAAGGCAGCCCCCUGGGCCAACACUGACGCUCAUGCACGAAAGCGUGGGGAGCAAACAGGAUUAGAUACCCCAGUAGUCCCUGUCUCUUAUAC